rnacentral:tmRNA from 1 species
CAUSGCUAUGGUAAAAAUGGACAAUGAAAUAAACUCGUUGGACCCGGGGGCGGUACCCGGCGCCUCCACCAAAGUGUAAUCGGUAAAGAUAUAUUUUUGUGGGGGCGAAAUAGGAUCGACAAGAGCGUAAAGAUUGCUUUUUUACUCGGCAUAGUACCACCGUUAUCGGACUAAUUUAGUAGUUGACAAUGACAACUAUGCGGAAGCACGUCUCGCUGCUUAAUGCAGUGCGAAUGUUUCAAAUUAAGUCU